rnacentral:rRNA from 1 species
AGGAUGAACGCUGGCGGCGUGCCUAAGACAUGCAAGUCGAGUGGGUUUAGACCCACGGCAAACGGGUGAGUAAUACCUAGGAAUGUCCCUUUUGUUGAGGAUAACCAGUCGAAAGAUUGGAUAAUACUCAAUGUGAUCGCAAGAUUAAAGUCGCAAGACGCAAAAGGCGCAGCCUGGGCACCAUCAGCUAGUUGGUAAGGUAAUGGCUUACCAAGGCUAUGACGGUUAGGGGCCCCCGAGAGGGGGAACCCCCACACUGGAACUGCGACACGGUCCAGACUCCUACGGGAGGCAGCAGUUUGGAAUUUUGGACAAUGGACGAAAGUCUGAUCCAGCGACGCCGCGUGGACGAUGAAGGCCUUCGGGUUGUAAAGUCCUUUUGCUCGGGAACAAUUUUGAGCGUACCGAGAGAAUAAGAGGUUGCUAACUCUGUGCCAGCAGCCGC